GGAAGGGUAACUUAGUGAUAGAGCGUUCGCUUUGCAUUUGAAAGGCCCUGGGUUCGAUCCCCAGCUCUUCCA